rnacentral:rRNA from 1 species
GAUGAACGCUGGCGGCGUGCCUAAUACAUGCAAGUCGAGCGAACAGACGAGGAGCUUGCUCCUCUGACGUUAGCGGCGGACGGGUGAGUAACACGUGGAUAACCUACCUAUAAGACUGGGAUAACUUCGGGAAACCGGAGCUAAUACCGGAUAAUAUAUUGAACCGCAUGGUUCAAUAGUGAAAGACGGUUUUGCUGUCACUUAUAGAUGGAUCCGCGCCGCAUUAGCUAGUUGGUAAGGUAACGGCUUACCAAGGCAACGAUGCGUAGCCGACCUGAGAGGGUGAUCGGCCACACUGGAACUGAGACACGGUCCAGACUCCUACCGGAGGCAGCAGUAGGGAAUCUUCCGCAAUGGGCGAAAGCCUGACGGAGCAACGCCGCGUGAGUGAUGAAGGUCUUCGGAUCGUAAAACUCUGUUAUUAGGGAAGAACAAAUGUGUAAGUAACUAUGCACGUCUUGACGGUACCUAAUCAGAAAGCCACGGCUAACUACGUG